rnacentral:tRNA from 1 species
CAUCUUUGGAUUUUUAUCUAAUGAUCCAGGACGUAAUCCUGGACGUGAAGAAUAAAAAAAAAUAAGGUUUUUCUUGAUUUUUAAAUGUUCUUAGCAUUUUUUUAUCUAUUCUACAUUUUUAAAUAUUAAAUAAAACAAAAAAGGUUCGCUAAAUUUUAAAGAAAAGAUAAAAAAAAUUCCAAAGUCAUCACCGAAACCGGAAAGAGAGGGAUUCGAACCCUCGGUACGAAUAACUCGUACAACGGAUUAGCAAUCCGACGCUUUAGUCCACUCAGCCAUCUCUCCCGAUUGAAAAAGGAUAAUUAAUUACUAUGUUACAUUACACAACAAGUAAGGCUUGAAAAAAUAAAGGCUUUUUUCUCUCUUUAUUACUUUUAUAAUUC